UACGAAGGGGGCUAGCGUUGUUCGGAAUUACUGGGCGUAAAGGGCGCGUAGGCGGUGUGUCAAGUCAGGCGUGAAAGCCCCGGGCUCAACCUGGGAACCGCGCUUGAGACUGGCACGGCUAGAGUUCGGGAGAGGAUGGUGGAAUUCCCAGUGAUAGAGGUGAAAUUCGUAAGAUAUUGGGAAGAACACCGAUGGCGAAGGCCAGCCAUCUGGACCGACACUGACGCUGAGGC
rnacentral:rRNA from 1 species